AAGUCAUUGCCGAGUCUUCCCAGCAGGAAGUUUCAUCCGAAGAUAAUGUGGUCGGGAAAUCUACAAAGGUUGGUUCUGAACCUUCUCAACGGGAAGCCUCUUCCCAAUUCAAACCACCUACCGAGACAUCUCCUACCGAAGCACCUCAAGCCAACGCUAAAUCCCAGACCGUUGAGCCAGAAGCCGAAGAGCCCAUUUUACCAGAAAUACAACUCAAACUACGUCGAAGGAAGAGGGGUGUCCGAAAGCCCAAACAGAUCUCCAUACCAUCAGAUUCCGAAGGCUUUUCUGAAUCUGAACCAAAUGUCAAUCCGAUACCCCCA
rnacentral:lncRNA from 1 species